rnacentral:rRNA from 1 species
AACAAACGCUGGCGGCGUGCCUAACACAUGCAAGUCGUACGAGAAAGGGUCCUUCGGGGCCUGAGUAAAGUGGCGCACGGGUGAGUAACGCGUGGAUAAUCUGCCCUUCAGUUGGGAAUAACUCAUCGAAAGGUGGGCUAAUACCGAAUAAUGCUGUGAGACCUCGGUUGAUCAGCCAAAGAGAGCCUCUGCUUGCAAGCCCUCGCUGAAGGAUGAGUCCGCGUACCAUUAGCUAGUUGGUAGGGUAAUGGCCUACCAAGGCGACGAUGGUUAGCGGGUCUGAGAGGAAGAUCAGCCACACUGGGAAUGAGACACGGUCCAGGAUCCUACGGGAGGCAGCAGUGGGGAAUCUUGCGGAAUGGGGGCCACCCUGACGCAGCAACGCCGCGUGAGUGAGGAAGGUCUUCGGAUCGUAAAGCUCUGUCGGAUGGAAAGAACCGCAUAGGGGUAAACAGCCCCUGUGUCUGACGGUACCAUCAAAGGAAGCACCGGCUAACUCCGUGCCAGCCGCCGCAGUAAAAC